CCAGCUCCUGUUUGCCUGGGCCUUUAGUCUUCACAGCUUGAGGUGAUGGAUGUCGAGGCGAUCCUGUCGUCCCUCAGGGCUGCUGCAGCGUGGAUGGUGGCCGGCACCUGUGGAGGCAAUUUACCAGCAUUACUGAAGGUAUGGCUGCCGGUGUGGGCACCCCCCGUGGCCUACCCUCCCCCUGGAGCACCCCCUGCGGUCUCCCCUGCUGCCUCCCAUGCGGUCCCUGCCCCUGGGGGCCGCACCCGCCUGCC